AGCUUUAUAGUCAAUAUAUGAUAUUAGAUUGCAAUUCUAAAGUAGUGGUUUUUACUAAAGCUU
rnacentral:tRNA from 1 species